AGAACAUAAAAGUCAUACAAACAAAGCAGUAGUUUUCUCUGUCUUCUACCCUUGCUUAAAAGGAAACAGAAAUGUUUAGUGGAAUAACUGGGUCCUAAUAUUUUAUAGGAUUCACCCUCACCCUCGCCAUCUGGCAGCCAGCAGAGUGGAGCGGAUUUUUAUUCACCAGGAGGCAGCCUUCUUCAGGAGGCAGCCAAUCUGGUGGACAGAGUGGAUGUGAUUGUUCCGGGGGGAGCUCUGGUGGAUCACCUACCUUAGCCAGAAGUGAUUCCUCUGCAAAUGGUUCAUCAUCUUCUGGAGGCAGCCAGUACAAU
rnacentral:lncRNA from 1 species